UACGGGGGGAGCAAGCGUUGUUCGGAUUUACUGGGCGUAAAGGGCGGGUAGGCGGCCACCGCAAGUCAGUUGUGAAAUCUCUGGGCUUAACCCAGAAAGGUCAACUGAUACUGCGGGGCUAGAGUGCAGAAGGGGCAACUGGAAUUCUCGGUGUAGCGGUGAAAUGCGCAGAUAUCGGGAGGAACACCGGUGGCGAAGGCGGUUCUCUGGGCCUUACCUGACGCUGAGGAGCGAAAGCGUGGGGAGCGAACAGG
rnacentral:rRNA from 1 species